rnacentral:misc_RNA from 1 species
GAAGAAAAAAAAAAAAAAAAAGACAGGUGCAGUUAUGUUGUACCCUUGUCCCUCAAAUUUACAUACAACAAAAUAAAACAAUAUCAUGAGCAAUGAAUUUGACCCACAGCACAAGCAGGCAACCAUAUGCAAUAAUCACCCUAUGUCUCAAUUAUGAGGGACAUCCAUCAGUGACUGACUACAAAGUUGUUAGGUACAUCAAUCAGGGCUCAUUCCAAUCCACAUAACAAAUUAUAAAACAAUAAUACUACAAAUAAAUCUAUAUUGACCCCAUAUCUACAUACCAUCAGUAUGGUUGUAACUUCCAACAUUAAUUCAAUAUGAUAACAUUAGAAUGUAACAUAAAAUGUAAACUACAAAAAAUAUUCCCAUCUUUUAAGUAAUAUCUACUGUAACAUGUUUGUUUAAAACAAUCUCUGAGUUGGAAGUCAUAAAAUAUUUGAAGUUAAAAGCCAAACUAUACCAGCAAAACCAAAUGCUUUUCAUCUGCAUUGAAGGGGGGAAAAGAGAAUGAUAAGAAAGAAAACAACUAACUUGGGUCCUGGGGAAAUCCUUCCAAUUAAUAUAGUGCAACAUGGUGAGUGAAUAUAGUUUAUUACUAUCAAUACAAAAUGUUUUUUGUUUAAUUUGGGCAUGCUACUUAUGAAUUAUGAUGCCCCACAACUAAGUUUCAAAUAACCACUUAAAAAUUCAAUAGUUCAACAUUUUGUACUAACUUGACUUGAAAAUACAAGGUUGCCUUGCAAAAAUGUGCCAUCAAUGUCAUUAUUUAUUUUAUAAUUUCAAGCAAAAGGCUCUUUAGCAUAAAUCCAAGUAAGAUUACACUGCCAGUGACUCCUAACUAAAACAGCAAUUCCCAAAACCCCUCCAAAUAAGGGGGAAAAAUUAACAUGGUAACUAAAUUUAUACUAGAGGAUGCCAAUUUCCUACCAGUUUCAUCAAGCUGAAGUUUCA